rnacentral:rRNA from 1 species
UGGGGAAUAUUGGACAAUGGGGGCAACCCUGAUCCAGCAAUGCCGCGUGUGUGAAGAAGGUCUUCGGAUUGUAAAGCACUUUCGACGGGGACGAUGAUGACGGUACCCGUAGAAGAAGCCCCGGCUAACUUCGUGCCAGCAGCCGCGGUAAUACGAAGGGGGCUAGCGUUGCUCGGAAUGACUGGGCGUAAAGGGCGUGUAGGCGGUUUACACAGUCAGAUGUGAAAUCCCCGGGCUUAACCUGGGAGCUGCAUUUGAUACGUGUAGACUAGAGUGUGAGAGAGGGUUGUGGAAUUCCCAGUGUAGAGGUGAAAUUCGUAGAUAUUGGGAAGAACACCGGUGGCGAAGGCGGCAACCUGGCUCAUGACUGACGCUGAGGCGCGAAAGCGUGGGGAGCAAACAGGUUAGAUACCCUGGUAGUCCACGCUG